rnacentral:rRNA from 1 species
AUUGAACGCUGGCGGCAGGCCUAACACAUGCAAGUCGAACGGUAACAGGAAGAAGCUUGUUUCUUUGCUGACGAGUGGCGGACGGGUGAGUAAUGUCUGGGAAACUGCCUGAUGGAGGGGGAUAACUACUGGAAACGGUAGCUAAUACCGCAUAACGUCGCAAGACCAAAGAGGGGGACCUUCGGGCCUCUUGCCAUCGGAUGUGCCCAGAUGGGAUUAGCUAGUAGGUGGGGUAACGGCUCACCUAGGCGACGAUCCCUAGCUGGUCUGAGAGGAUGACCAGCCACACUGGAACUGAGACACGGUCCAGACUCCUACGGGAGGCAGCAGUGGGGAAUAUUGCACAAUGGGCGCAAGCCUGAUGCAGCCAUGCCGCGUGUAUGAAGAAGGCCUUCGGGUUGUAAAGUACUUUCAGCGGGGAGGAAGGGAGUAAAGUUAAUACCUUUGCUCAUUGACGUUACCCGCAGAAGAAGCACCGGCUAACUCCGUG